UACCGAGGUCCCAAGCGUUGUUCGGAUUCACUGGGCGUAAAGGGUGCGUAGGCGGUCGGGUAAGUCUGAUGUGAAAUCUCACAGCUUAACUGUGAAACUGCAUUGGAUACUAUCCGGCUAGAGGAAUGGAGGGGAGACUGGAAUACUUGAUGUAGCAGUGAAAUGCGUAGAUAUCAAGUGGAACACCAGUGGCGAAGGCGAGUCUCUGGACAUUUCCUGACGCUGAGGCACGAAAGCCAGGGGAGCAAACGGG
rnacentral:rRNA from 1 species